rnacentral:rRNA from 1 species
CGAGUAAUGGCGAGAACUCCAGGGAGACUGCCGGUGAUAAACCGGAGGAAGGUGGCGACGACGUCAAGUCAUCAUGGCCCGUACGAGUAGGGCUACACACGUGCUACAAUGGCGCAUACAGAGGGCAGCCAACUUGCGAAAGUGAGCGAAUCCCAAAAAGUGCGUCGUAGUCCGGAUUGGAGUCUGCAACUCGACUCCAUGAAGUCGGAAUCGCUAGUAAUCGUGGAUCAGAAUGCCACGGUGAAUACGUUCGCGGGCCUUGUACACACCGCCCGUCACACCAUGGGAGUGGGCUGCAAAAGAAGUAGGGAGUUUAACCUUCGGGGGGACGCUUCCCACUUUGUGGUUCAUGACUGGGGUGAAGUCGUAACAAGGUAGCGCUAGGGGAACCUGGCGCUGGAUCACCUCCUUAAACG